UGAGCAUAGAAUUGAUCCUAUAUUGUCCAACACAAGCAUAUAGUAGCAACAAGGUUUCCGUUAUAUAUCAUUAAUUUUGUUACAAAUUAAUAAUAGUAUUCCGAAGAAAUAGAUCGAUCUGCACAUGAUAUUACAUAUGAUGUAGGAAAGAAAAUGGAGAGUCUAGUGGAACUUGAGGCUAGUCAAGACAUUGUUGUUGACAGGAUCAGCCAAAUGGUCCAGCAGGUUCUCGAAAGGUCCAACCCCGGUCACCAAACCCUGAAUGAAGUAACCCAAGAUUGCUAACAUAGCCAAUCUUCCAUUCUUGAUUUCUUUUAGCUUCAGUUCCUUCAUUGACUUCUCAUCUUUCCCGAACCCGAGUGGGUUAAAGAACGGCCCACCUGGGUAUGCCGGGUCACCCGACCCUGAAAAACCUUUCUCCAACCCCAAGAAGUAUUGCUUCCCCAUUGACCCUGGGUUAUACCAGUCUUGGAGUCUUCUAUGCUCUGCGAAACCCAUCAACGCCAUUUCCAAUACAAAUAGGGUGAAAGGGUCUGCCCAGUAGUUGUAUGUUCCGGCUGGGGGAAUGACACCGGUCUUGAACCAAGGGAGGGCGGUUUCCGGUGGGAUGAGCCCAAGCUUGCCGAAGAUCUCUGGUGCAAUGGCGCCAGCUGCACCCAACAUGGCGAAACGUCCAUUGAUAACCUCGCCGUAUGCUAGCCACUUGGGUUCGAUGAAUCCUCCGGUUCCUUCUGGGUCCGAGAGACCAAGUGGGUCGAACCCAAAGUCGCCUGGGAGACUGUAAAAUUCAAAGUCUCAGGUGAAAAAGAACUUGUUUGAUCAAGACUUCUUUGCUUUCUAGUUAUAUUAUAUACUAUUUAUUUAUUCUAAAAAACCACUACAAUUCAUGCCAAUCUUUUAAGUUUGUAACACUUAUCUUUGACUUCAAAAGAAAAACUGUAUCUUUCUUUUGUUGGAACGAUGAAAUUACCUUCCAUCAAGGUAAGAGAGAGAUUGCUUGGAUGCAAACCACAACUGUCUGUUAGCUCCUUGCUGGUAGACAUACGAUAACCCAUCAAGUCAUGAUCAAACUCACACACAAAUAUGAGGAAGAA
rnacentral:lncRNA from 1 species